rnacentral:rRNA from 1 species
UUUGAUUCUGGCUCAGAACGAACGCUGGCGGCGUGGAUAAGACAUGCAAGUCGAACGGAGAUCUUGAAUAGCUUGCUAAUUAAGAUCUUAGUGGCGGACGGGUUAGUAACACGUGAGAACCUACCCUUUAGACAGGAAUAGCCCAUGGAAACGUGGAUUAAUGCCUGAUAGUCUCUAUGGAGUAAAUGAUGCCUCCGGGUAUCGCUAAAGGAUGGGCUCGCGGCCUAUCAGCUUGUUGGUGAGGUAAAGGCUCACCAAGGCGACGACGGGUAGCUGGUCUGAGAGGACGAUCAGCAACACUGGAACUGAGACACGGUCCAGACACCUACGGGUGGCAGCAGUCGAGAAUCAUUCACAAUGGAGGCAACUCUGAUGGUGCAACGCCGCGUGGAGGAUGACGGUCCUAGGAUUGUAAACUCCUGUCAUUGGGGAGUAAGACUUAAGCGUUAAGAGCGUUUAAGUUUGAUAGUACCCAAAGAGGAAGGGACGGCUAACUUCGUGCCAGCAGCCGCGGUAAUACGAAGGUCCCAAGCGUUGUUCGGAAUCACUGGGCGUAAAGCGUGUGUAGGCUGCGCGGAAAGUCAAAUGUGAAAGCCCGGGGCUCAACCUCGGAACUGCAUUCGAUACUCCCGUGCUAGAGUAAUGGAGAGGUAAGUGGAAUUCCUGGUGUAGCAGUGAAAUGCGUGGAUAUCAGGAGGAACAUCAAUGGCGAAGGCAACUUACUGGACAUUUACUGACGCUCAGACACGAAGGCUAGGGUAGCGAAAGGGAUUAGAUACCCCUGUAGUCCUAGCAGUAAACGGUGCUCGCUUGGUGUGGGAGGAUUCGACCCCUUCUGUGCCGGAGCUAACGCGUUAAGCGAGCCGCCUGGGAAGUACGGUCGCAAGACUAAAACUCAAAGAAAUUGACGGGGACCCGCACAAGCGGUGGAGUAUGUGGCUUAAUUCGAUGCAACGCGAAGAACCUUACCUAGGCUUGACAUGCUUGUCGUACUCUCCCGAAAAGGAGAGGUCACUUCGGGUGGACAAUGCACAGGUGCUGCAUGGCCGUCGUCAGCUCGUGUCGUGAGAUGUUUGGUUAAGUC